rnacentral:rRNA from 1 species
AGUAACGCGUGAGGAACCUGCCUCAAAGAGGGGGACAACAGUUGGAAACGACUGCUAAUACCGCAUAAGCCCACGGCUCGGCAUCGAGCAGAGGGAAAAGGAGUGAUCCGCUUUGAGAUGGCCUCGCGUCCGAUUAGCUGGUUGGUGAGGUAAUGGCCCACCAAGGCGACGAUCGGUAGCCGGACUGAGAGGUUGAACGGCCACAUUGGGACUGAGACACGGCCCAG